rnacentral:rRNA from 1 species
GACAGAGGGUGCAAACGUUUGUUCGGAAUUACUGGGCGUAAAGCGCGUGUAGGCGGCUAAGUAAGUCGGGCGUGAAAUCCCACGGCUCAACCGUGGAAGUGAACUCGAAACUGCAUAGCUAGAGUCCUGGAGAGGAAGGUGGAAUGCUUGGUGUAGAGGUGAAAUUCGUAGAUAUCAAGCGGAACACCGGUGGCGAAGGCGGCCUUCUGGACAGUGACUGACGCUGAGACGCGAAAGCGUGGGGAGCAAACAGGG